rnacentral:rRNA from 1 species
GACGAACGCUGGCGGCGUGCCUAAUACAUGCAAGUCGAACGAGAGCGACCGGUACUUGCACUGGUCAAUCUAGUGGCGAACGGGUGAGUAACACGUGGGUAACCUGCCCAUCAGAGGGGGAUAACAUCCGGAAACGGAUGCUAAAACCGCAUAGGUCUUCGAGCCGCAUGGCUUGAAGAGGAAAAGAGGCGCAAGCUUCUGCUGAUGGAUGGACCCGCGGUGCAUUAGCUAGUUGGUGAGGUAACGGCUCACCAAGGCCGUGAUGCAUAGCCGACCUGAGAGGGUGAUCGGCCACAUUGGGACUGAGACACGGCCCAAACUCCUACGGGAGGCAGCAGUAGGGAAUCUUCCGCAAUGGACGCAAGUCUGACGGAGCAACGCCGCGUGAGUGAAGAAGGUUUUCGGAUCGUAAAACUCUGUUGUUAGAGAAGAACAAGUGCUAGAGUAACUGUUAGCGCCUUGACGGUAUCUAACCAGAAAGCCACGGCUAACUGCGUG